AUGUACCACUCGUACACUCCGGUUCCUGUGCGUCGUCCGCACCCACCUGACGACUGCUCGCUACGUUUUGUUAGCC
rnacentral:sRNA from 10 species